rnacentral:misc_RNA from 1 species
GAAAUGCGAUAAGUAAUGUGAAUUGCAGAAUUCAGUGAAUCAUCGAAUCUUUGAACGCACAUUGCGCCCCCUGGUAUUCCGGGGGGCAUGCCUGUUCGAGCGUCAUUUCACCACUCAAGCCUCGCUUGGUAUUGGGCAACGCGGUCCGCCGCGUGCCUCAAAUCGACCGGCUGGGUCUUCUGUCCCCUAAGCGUUGUGGAAACUAUUCACUAAAGGGUGUUCGGGAGGCUACGCCGUAAAACAACCCCAUUUCUAAGGUUGACCUCGGAUCAGGUAGGGAUACCCGCUGACCUUAAGC